UGGGGGGGCGGGGGUGUGCGGUGUGCUGUGUUCUUAGACCGUUAACAGAAGCUAACAGUUGUACCGAUAAAAUUUUUUCAUCUUAAGUUUUUAUAAUUAUGUCAGCAAAUAGGGCAUUGGCAGUUUAUUAUUUAUAAAGCUCUAAGAAUAUAUUUGAAGUUGCAGUAGAAUAAUAGCUAGUAACGUAACGUAUAUUUGUAAUAAUAUUGUAAUACGAAUAAAAUACUAGUCAUCCAACAACAUGGCUGACAACGUUCCGGUAAAUAGUGCCAGUGGAAAAGCUGCAGAACCAAAGGAAGGUUCCGAUAAGGAGGAACAGACCUCCAAACCCAAAAUGAAGAUAUUUAUCAAAACCCCCAAGGAGACAGAAUCAUUUCAAGUCGAUGAAAACUGCACAAUACAAAAGUUGAAAGAAAUGAUACAAAACAAGUUUAAUGCAGAAUCGAGUCAGCUGUGCCUAAUUUUUGCUGGAAAAAUUAUGAAAGAUAAUGAAACUUUAACUCAGCUGGGGAUCAAAGAUGGUUUCACAAUUCAUUUGGUAAUAAGAGGUGCUCAAAGGCCUGCCAGUACUGCUACUACAACGGAAAAUACUAAUACCCCACCUGCAGAUCCAUAUGGGGCUUUUUCCAGAUUCAAUAUGCCAAACCUUGGCAACCUAGGAAAUCUUGGGAACCUUGGAAAUCUUGGAAACCUUGGAAAUCUUGGAAAUCUUGGAAACCUUGCGAACCUUGGAAACCUUGGAAAUUUUGGAGGUACAGAUGGCCUAGCGGAUUUUACUCGUAUGAAUAGACUUCCAAGUAUGCAGAGCAUACAGAAUGAAAUCCUUCAAAAUCCAGAAACUUUGCGGAAUAUUCUAGAUAAUCCUGUUGUGCAAGGAUUUCUUAAUGACCCAGAACACAUGAGAAAUUUAAUGACAAGAAGUCCUCAGAUGCAAGAAUUAAUGGAAAGAAAUCCAGAAAUUAGCCAUAUGCUAAAUAACCCCGACCUUUUAAGACAAACAAUGGAAUUGGCUAGGAAUCCAUCUAUGUUACAGGAAUUGAUGAGAACUCAUGAUAGAGCUAUUAGUAAUUUAGAAAGUAUCCCAGGAGGUUAUAAUGCUCUACAAAGAAUGUAUCGUGAUAUUCAGGAACCAAUGUUAUCAGCUACCACAGAACAAUUUAUUAGAAAUCCAUUUACUGGGUUAGUGGAUAACACAUCAACAAGUAAUCCUCAACAAGGUCGUGAAAAUACAGAACCAUUACCCAAUCCAUGGUCACCAUCUCAACCAGCAUCUGGUGGUGGGGGGAACAGAACCACACCUGCUAACAAUGAUACAAAUCCAUUGGGAGGACCUUCAAUGGCAAGUUUUUUUCACAACCUUGCAACUGUCAUGGAAGGCGGUAAUCUAGAUGAUCCUGAAAUGCAAUCUUUCCUUAAUAUGUUUGUAGAAGAUCCUGAGUUUUUAGACUCUAUACUGCCUAGAAAUCCGUACAUUCCUUCUGGAAAUUCACCAUCAGCAGAACAAUUGGGGAACUUGGGGAACUUAUUACAAAAUCCAGAUUUAGUUAAUAUGCCGACAAAUCCUGAAGCUGUAAAUGCCUUUAAUCAGAUUCGAGAGGGCAUGGAACUACUUCGUCAGACAGCACCAAAUUUUUUGAAUGCACUUAAUAUUCCACCAGGAUUUAGACCACCAGCAACAACCACUAACAGCAACAAUAGUACUACCAAUACAACCAGCACUGUUAAUAGCACCACCACUGGAACUACCACAACUACAACUCCAUCUAGUGGACGCACUAAUGUACCAGCUACAACUACAACUGGUACUUCCUCACCAUUUAAUGCAGAGAUAUUUGCUCGUAUGAUGCAAAGCAUGAACCAAGCGCCGCCGGAAGAGAGAUACCAGAAUCAAUUAGAACAACUCAGAGCAAUGGGUUUUAUGAAUAGAGAAGCCAAUUUACAGGCAUUGAUUGCCACAUUUGGAGAUGUAAAUGCUGCUGUAGAGCGAUUACUUGCCCUAGGGCAGCUCUCUAUGAGUUAACCUUGUGAAGAAUAGAUUCCCAAAAAUAUUUUCCCUCUCAUGUUUUAUUUAAUAGUUUAUCCUUGUUUUAAAAUAUAAUUAGAUGGUUUAAUGAAAAAGUAGCCUUGAGAUGCCUUGUUUUAUAUUCCCUAUUUGUUGGGCUGCUAUUGGUUAUAGGGCUUUGUAUUUUUUAUUAUUUAAACAAAAUAAGGUUCACUUUUUAUACAAUUGGAUAAACUGCUUAAUAUAUAAGAAGAAUAGCAUAAUAUUCUGAGAUUUAACAAAGUCAUGUCUUUGUACUCUUUAAAAUACUCUAAAGAAUUAGAAAAUUUUAACUAGGUAUGUAUAUAUAACAUAUUGUUGACCUCUACAAGGUUAUUGCUAUUAUAAAAUGACCUUUUAUGUAAAAUUAACUAGGUAUUUAAAAAGGACAUAUCAAGGCUAUCAUAAUCAACAUUCUAGAAAAGCUCUGACUAGAGAAAAAUCAGUGAUUUUUGACAACCACAAAAACAAUUUGUGACAUUUUAGUUUGACAGAUGUUUCCAAAAUAUAUAAAAAUAGUCUUUUAAUUAACAUUCUUGUUAAUGGUUUUGGAAAAUGUUUAAACGCAAUUUUUGGAAGACAUCUAAAGUUGGCCAGGAUUUUUUUAUAUUUAUAUUUUAUAUUUAUACUACUUUUUGAACAAUAUAGUUUUUCGUAUUUUUAUUUUUUUUUAAAUGCAGGUUUUUCAAGAGUGUUGAUGGUUUUAUGUUAAUACAUAGUUACGACUUAGAAGUUUACAUAUAGACUUUCAAAAAAUACAUUUGAUCACUUUAAUGAUUUCAACAAGCACAUACACAGUGUGGUCUGUUCUAAGAUAUCACAUUAGGAAUGUAUAAAAUUACUAAAAAAUCUCAUUUCUCAAAUUAUGUAUUCCACUGCAUUGGCCCUACGUGAUUUGUAUUGGAUGUUCUUAAAAAGAGUAGCCUGAAUUUAUUAAAACUGCAAUUGAUAUGAUAACUAUCAAUAAUUUAUUGUAUUUGGGAUAAAAAACAUUAUUUGAGGUCAAGUUUCUGCCUUGAAAAAUUUAUUAGUGUUUGACAAGAGUAGUAAGAAAUGGAUGGUAGUAUAAUUUGGAAUAAUAGCUUUAUAUUUUAACAUUAUUUAUUUAUUUAAAUUUUUUUAACAUUUCUAGUUAUUAAUAGCAUAUUUUACAGCUUGUCUACUGAUGAAAGAUCUAAUUACCAGAAUAUUUUUCUUUUUAAUGUGUUAUGUAAGAUAUCUUAGAUGAUGACGCUAUAAUUGAUCAAAAUGUAUCCUAGAUUGACUAAAUAUAAAAUACAUAAACUGUUUUCAACUCAAAUUAAAAAGAUCCUCUUUAAGUUUUUUGAUGAUUUUUGGCAGUAUAGAAUUGACUAUUCCUUCUGAGCUCAGAAGAGGUUGUUGGCAAAUUUAGAUUUCAAUACUCUGCUGCACGCUUUAACUACAUGCAGUCAAAUUAAAAAGCAAUGGAAUUACUUCGCCAAACAUUCUCUAAUCGUAUGAAUGUAUUAAAUAUUGUUAACGUAUUAGAGCUACCAAGCGCCUCCAGUACUACCAUGCUCCUUCAGUACUACUAAGCACCUGACUAUGCUGACUAUCAGAGUCAUAGUUCAACUAAUGGACUCGCUAUUUCAUCUGCUGCUGACCACUGGCUCUCAACCAUUUGCAGUUUUCAAGUCAUUGUUUCCUUGGCUGUCAAAUGAGUCCUCAAGAGAGAAAUCAGGCCAGUGGGUUUUAUGGAUAGGAAAGUCAAAUUUAUAGGCAAUCAUUAUUAACUUUUGGAGAUUAUGAUUGCUGCCGUAUAGAGUUUAACCAUAUUAAGGCGGAUCUAUGUCAAUAAACUUUCAGAAUAGAUUCACAAAAAUAUUAUUUUGUAUUUAAUAGUUUAAUUCUUGUUUUAAAAUAUAAUUAGAUAAUUUAAAGAAACGUAGCUUUAAAAUGUCUUUUCUAUUUUGAUUAGGCUGUUAGUACCCUACAAAAUUAAUGUUAGUUUUUCUGGAUAAAAUACUUCAAGAGGUUUCAUAAAAAGUCAUCUUGUCCCCUAAAAUACUUGACUCCUCAAAUUUGAAACAGCAAUAUAAGUUGUACAUAUUGAUGACAAGGUUAUAAAUAUAAAUGUCUAUUGUCUGUGUUAGAAAUUAUCUAUUUAGAUAUGCAAUAGUUUUUGCUGAUUUACAUUUUAUUGACAAUAGAAAAAAUUUAAAUAUUUAAAAAGGACAUUUCAAGGCUAUCAUAUAUCAACAUUCUGGAAAAAGCUGUGACUGGUGUAAAUUACAUGUAACAAUUUACUAUUGAGGACGAUAUUGAUAUAUAACUAUUUUCUAUAGACCAUUCAGUGGCCAUUAUAUUUUUAUGAAAAAAUUCUAGUCACAUAAUGUUUUGCUAUUAACGAUUAACCGAAAUAAUCAUUUAAGGCAACGAAACUUUGGUAUUUUGGAGUCAAAAAUAUGAACUAGAAGGUUUGGUGGGAUUUAGUACCAAAUAAAAUAUUACUUGCAAUUUUUCUACCUAAUUUAUAUUUUUAAUACGAAGAUUUUCAAAGAAAUGGUAAAUCGGUAAAUUAUUUUUAUAAUAAAUACUAUAACUGCAUAUACGUGUUGCUAUAAUAAAAGAAUUAUUGGAAAGAUCUGUAUGAAAUUGAAAAGUGGGAGGUCAUCAUCAGUGUUCGAUACUUUGUUUCGUUUAGUUAAUAUUUCAAUUUUCUCCUUCUUAAGAAUUCUAGAAGCCGCUUAUAUAUUCUGAUAAUAUUAGUUGUUCAGUUGAAUUGAAAUGCUUUCUAUAAUAUAAGGAAAGUUAAAAUAAUCACUACCUUGAUAGAAACUUCAAUACUUUAGGUAAAAUCAGCAUAUUUAUUCGAAUAAAUUAUAAAAGGUUGCAUUGAUAACUCGAUUAAAAGAAGUAAUGUCAGUUGAGUAAUGGAAACUUUAAUAUAACUUUAAAAUAUGUUAUGAAACUGUUAAUUCGUUUUAGAUAUUCAUCUUUAAGUAAAAAUUAUACAUGGUCAGAAUAAUUUUUAAAUCAGUAAAUAAUUAAGAAUUUUUAACAGUAAUUUACAUAUUAAAUUUGGUGUAACAAGAAUAUUUAACUGUCGUGUGGAGAAAUAUAGUUUUUUAAAACGAAUUUUUCAUAUUUUCAAUUAUAAUUCUAGAUCUUCUUCUUCUUGUGCCACUCCUAUCGGAGAUUGGAAAUCAUCAAGGCUACCCUGACCUUGUUUACAGCUGACCUAAAAAAUUCAUUAGUGGUGCAGCCAAACCACUCUCUCAAAUUCCGCAACCAUGACAUUCUUCUACUGCCUGGAUUCCGUUUUCCUUCUAUUUUUCCUUGCAUUAUAUUUUGAAGUAAUGCGUAUUUAUGACCUGUCAGCAGGUGAUCCAAAUAUUCGAGUUUUCUUAGUUUUAUCGUUAACAAAAUCUCUGGGUCUUUUCCUAUCCUUCGUAUUACUUCAAGGUUUGUGAUUCUUUCAACCCAAAUUAUCUUCAGCAUUCGACGGUAGGAUCACAUCUCGAAACUCUCAAUUCUAGAUACAUGUUCCUUAUUCUGCUCAACGUUGACAUUUAUUCUUACUAUAGCUUUUUUGUAAAUGCAGAUUAUUUUCAAGAGUGUUGAUUGUUUAUGUUAUUGGUUCAUAGUUAAGGUUACAUAUAGCAGAUAUAUACGCAGUUACUGAAACAUUCCUUUUAUGCUUGUUUAGAGUCUUUUAAAAGUGCAAUUGAUAUGAUAAAUAACUUAUUUAAUGUAUUUUAAUAAAACACUAGGUUACUAUCAGUAUUGGCGUAAAAUUCCGGCCAUGGACUCUAUGUACAUGGCAAAAAUAAGAUUUAGAUUUUGAUAGAAUGUUUGUACAGUAUUUGAAAAUUAUUCUAUUAUGUACAGGUUUUCAAAAAAAGGUAGUGGGUAUAUAAAAGGGAUUACAACAUUAUAGAGUUGUAGAUUUUACAAUAAUUCGUCAAAUUAGUUCACAUAAACAAAAACUUAACUUUAUCCGCCCAUUUAUUACAUUCCAUUUAUCUGCCCUUUUACUAUUUAUAUAGAUGUGUUUCUUCAUAAUUUUCUGGCUCUAUUGUAUAUUUUCACUUCAGGUGAUUCUUACUGUUUUCAUCCUUAGCUUCGAUAUUUUUCCAUGCUUUUGUUGGACUUUUGUUUUUCCCACACCAUUUUUGCUUCCUUAUGUCUAUCUGCAUUUUAAGUCCCAACCACUGUAUUCUUCUUAAUUCAGUUUUUACUAUACUUGUCACCUUCAGGAACUUUCUUAUUACCGCCCUUUCAAUUUUGUCUGUAUGUUUUAUACCCUUCAAUUUCUGAGAAUUUUUAUUUCAUAGGCUUCGCUUUGCCGAGUCAGGUCAAUACUUAUGAAACUAUUAUCAAUAUAUAAAAUUAUUAAUAAAUUAUUAAAUAGCUAUGAUAGUAGUCAUACUGUAAAGUUGAUGUACCUAUAAGUAAUUUCUUUUGACAAACUUAUAUAAAUACUUUCAGCAACCACGAUACUUUUUUUACAAUUAUAUGAUACCUAUUUUUGAUUCCUUCGUACAAAGAAAAUUUAAACUAUUCUUGAUUACUGAUAGAACCUUUGUUUAUUCAUUUUUUGCGUUGUUUGAAUAUAUGGUGAAUCGGUAAUGUGUUGUAUAGUGCAUGUAUAACAGCGAACAACAGUUAAAAUCCCAUCACAUGUUUGUUUAUCUUUUACUGUAAAUAAAAAUAUAUUUGAUAUUGUUUUUAUCAAUAAAUUAUUAAGAAAAGUUCAUAUAAAAAUUAAUAGCUUAACUUAAAAUUAACUAAAAAAAAAUAAGUCAAAUCCUUUAUAAAAGGUAUAUUUAUUAAAAUUCCUUAAAAAGGGCUACAUCACAAACGCAGAACUAGUUUUCGAUCCGAUUACAGAUCAUCAUCAGUGCUGACAAGAUGCUGACAUGCUAACCACUAAAAUGAAAAUAUUUGGGUAAAAACCUUUUAAACUUAAUCAGUCAUGGAAACAUUGACUCUAAUUAAUAAAAUAAACAUGGGUGUAUUAGAUAUCACAUGAAUUAGGCCCUGGGUACCAUCUGACCAUCUAUUGAGUUGUUUACAUGUUGAAUGAUCGUUGGCAACUAAUUAUUGUAACGGAAAUCCGUACCCAGGGUCUAAUUUAUGUGAUAUCUAAUACAUCCAUGUUUAUUUUGUAAUUAUAUUCAAUGUUUCCAUGACUAACUAAGUUUAAAGGGUUUUUACCCAAAUAUUUUCAUUUUGGUGGUUAGCACGUCAGCAUCUUGUCAGCACUGAUUAUGAUCUGUAAUCAGGUCGAAAACUAGUUCUGCUUUUGUGAUGUAGCCUUUUUUAGGGAAUUUUAAUAAAUAUACCUUUUAUAAAGGAUUUUACUUACUUUUUGUAAUAUAUGGUAUACAGCCAGUUACAGGAAAACCUUUUUCCUUGUGGAUUUUUAAAAUUAACUGUUUUUGCUGUCUGCUGCACACCUGAUUCGCAAAUUUAGAGAAAAAACCCAUAUUACUCCCCGUAUUAAUAGUAAAAGUGAAUUACUCAGAAAUGGGAAACAGUUACUAUAGAAUACGGGGAAAUUUUAGACUGGAUUUUUUUUUGACUGAAUGCUUUUGAAUGUUUUUAUUUAUUGUUAUAUCUUAUAUAACAAUACAUAUAUUUGUUUCAUUUAUGUGUAGAUAAAUGUAUUUUCUUCUAUGUUCUUGCAUUUUAUAUUUGAUUCAUUAAAAUUAAAAUCAUACAAAAAAUUAUAUUAUAAAGUUGAAUAUAUCACCCAAUCAGUAAGUCAACAACUGUUCCUAUUGUAAAUUGUAAAAAAAUAAAAAAGUGUUGCAGAUUUAUGUUAAAUUUGAUUUUUGUCGAAAGCUCAAUAUUUCUUUUCUUUCCAAUUCCACUUUAAAUCAUAUUUUUCAUUUUAUAUGCAAAUGUGCACAUUUAUAUUAUUGUCUAUAUUUUUGGGGUUUUUUAAUUACUCGACUUUUUACUGUCGAUUUUUAUUUAAUUUUAGCAUCACAAUAAAAGUAGAUCUCUAAGCUACUAGUUACAACCAAUUGCUCAUAAUGGGGUAUUUUUUCGUUCUCUUCUUUUUCGACUUGGGAACAAGUCUGUAUUUUGUUCUAGUCUAGAUGUCAGCAAAGCUAAAGUAAAUCUUAGUGUUCGUUCUAUUUUCAUUCAAUGUUUUUAUCUAAGCUACUGGCUCUAGUUAAUCUUGCUGCAUCAAAUAAAGUCUCAUUUUAAUAUUUAAUUAUUUAUAUAUUUAAUAUUUAUAUAUUUAUUUAUUUAUUAUUUAUAUAUUUAUAAUAUAUUUUAAUACUUAAAUUAAAGAAAUGAUCUGUAUAUAUUGCAAACGUUAUAUCAAAAAGUGUAGAUGAGUUAUACAAACUAACUAUUUGAAUAAAAACUGAGACAUUUUUUUAUAUUUCAAAUCCAGCGCUGUAUUUUUAUCACUUCAUUUACAUAAAAGAUGCUUCAAGUAGUGAAUGCAAGGGCAUAUCUUACAGAUUAUGUAUUAUUUGCUAUGUAUGUAUUUAUGUAUGUAGAAACAUAAGCAGUUUUUGGGAGUGACCCUAAGCUUAUUGAAAUUUUGUUUAUUUGAAAGUGAUAUCUGUUUAUAUGAAUCUGUAACGAUGGGUUUUUAUAUUUACUUUGCAAUAUAAUAUUUUAAAUGAUUAUAGGUUUUACUCGUAUUUUGAUGUAUUUUCAGAAAUCUAAAAGUGAAGUGGUUUAGUUUUAAUGAUUUGAAAAAGGUGGUGCAAACAAUUGGAGCUAUGACGAUAUUUGUCUUUAUUUAAUAGUAACAAGUAUAAUCAGGGUGAUCCAACGAUGUUCUGUACAGAACAAAUUAUUCAGUAUCUAUUAGUUUUUGAGUUUUUUUUGUUUGUUGUUAAAUUAAAUUUUUAUAAAUAAAAUCUUCAUGGAUACGUGUUCCAACAUUUUUGUCCUUGUAGGCUCUUAAAAAAGAGGAUCCAAUAAUUGUGUUGUACAUAUCAUACCAGUAAAUUAGCUAUAUUAAUAUUUCUGCUAGUUCGUAUUUUUUUAAUAAAUUUUGAAAACUCCUGGCCCGAUCCUGUGUAUUUUAGUCUAUGUAAUCUUUAAGGCCUAAAUUUAAAUGUUCCGUUAAAUAAUGUAGAGUUUGCGUCAAUGGAUCACUCUGUACAUAACUAAUAAAGCCAAUGCUUGAAACACUAUAGUAAAAAACUUACUAAUGUGAAUACCUCAGAAAUAGAAAACUGUUAAUAGGUUACUUUCAAAUGUUUGCAUCGCCUGAACUAGUAUUAGUGUUACGUAUUUGAGAAAAGAUGAGAUGUGAAAAAGUAUAUUUAAAAAUAGUUUUGUACCAUUUUAACAGGAGAUUCUUACUCUUUUGUAAACUAAUACUAGUUUUUACAAUAUGUUCAUCAAUAUUUCAUAUUUCACCUAUAGAAUGGUGCAUUUCGUUGACUUAUUUUGAAAUAAAAAUGACUGAAUGUUA
rnacentral:misc_RNA from 1 species